UCAUAUCUCUCUACGGGAAGGAUAGCUUCGACCAAGGUUCGAUCGAGCGAGCGAGCUUUGCCGCCGCAGGCAACGACCCGAAGGGCGAAGCGCGCAGCGCUGAGUCAUCCUUCCCCCACCACCA
rnacentral:sRNA from 1 species